rnacentral:rRNA from 1 species
GGCGGGGGGACAACAUCCGGAAACGGUGCUAAUACCGCAUAGGAAGUUUGUUCGCAUGAACAAACUUAGAAAGAUGGCUCUGCUAUCACUUAUCGAUGGGCCUUGCGGUGCAUUAACUAGUUGGCGAGGGUAAACGGGCUCACCAAGGUGAUGAUGCAUAGCCGACCUGAGAGGGUAAUCGGCCACAUUGGGACUGAGACACGGCCCAAACUCCUACGGGAGGCAGCAGUAGGGAAUCUUCCGCAAUGGACGCAAGUCUGACGGAGCAACGCCGCGUGAGUGAAGAAGGUUUUCGGAUCGUAAAACUCUGUUGUAAGAGAAGAACAAAUUGUAGAGUAACUGCUACAGUCUUGACGGUAUCUUACCAGAAAGCCACGGGCUAACUACGUGCCAGCAGCCGCGGUAAAU